AGGAUUUCAGAAGCUUGUACAUACAUAGAAGCGGCAAACUUAAUUCAUAAUCUGACUCCCAAAUUUGCAAUUAUUAACCUCUAGGUUUUCAGACACUCAAGACAAAACAAAAAAAUGCACAUUUAAAACAACAUACAACUAUAAGUUCAUCUACGGUGAACAUGUGAUAACUUCAGUUCUCUACAGACAGAAUCCUAGGAAACUUCAAUUCUCAGGGACAAACAGAGAAGGCAAAAUCUUGGAAGAGAUAAAUAGAACGACUAACCAGAAAGUUGUGAAGGAAACCAAGAGAGAGUUGCAUUGAAAACCCAAGGGAGUAGAAAAUAUCAACAGAAGCUGAGUGCCAAGAAGUACAAUAAAUUAAAGGCAAAAUUGAAUGGCAAGAGGUUAUAGGCAGAAUAAAGAGAUUGAAGAGAGAAUGGAGGGAAAAUUGAUAAAGCAAAAGGAAUCAAGAUGAAAAUUUACAAAGAUAGAAGAAGAAUGAAGUUCAAAAUACAAAUGCCUGGGUUGGCUUUGGACAAAAGAAGCACUACUUCAUUUGAAGUUGGGCAGCAACAGGUA
rnacentral:lncRNA from 1 species